rnacentral:piRNA from 1 species
CGGGAUGAUAGCGGGAUAGCGGCAGGU